UAGAAGAUCGUGAUCUUCGGCAGAGGAAACAUAGUAAACGAAAACAAGAACCUAAACAUGAAGUUACGAAAAAGAUCCGUAGAAAAGUUGAUGUAGCGAAGACUUUCUUACCUUUUGAAAUGAAGACCUUACUUGUAGCAGUUUUAGCUCUCAUCUGUGGAGGCUUAAAUAGCUACCAUCAGUACACCAUGUUUGAAAAUGAUCGACAUUUUUCUCAUCUUUCCACUUUGGAGAGAGAAAUGACUUUUAGGACAGAAAUGGUAAAUAUUGUACUUAUAUCUAAGCUGGAAAAGAAUUCCUGAA